rnacentral:rRNA from 1 species
UAGAGUUUGAUCCUGGCUCAGAUUGAACGCUGGCGGCAGGCCUAACACAUGCAAGUCGAGCGGUAACAUUUCUAGCUUGCUAGAAGAUGACGAGCGGCGGACGGGUGAGUAAUGCUUGGGAACAUGCCUUGAGGUGGGGGACAACAGUUGGAAACGACUGCUAAUACCGCAUAAUGUCUACGGACCAAAGGGGGCUUCGGCUCUCGCCUUUAGAUUGGCCCAAGUGGGAUUAGCUAGUUGGUGAGGUAAUGGCUCACCAAGGCGACGAUCCCUAGCUGGUUUGAGAGGAUGAUCAGCCACACUGGGACUGAGACACGGCCCAGACUCCUACGGGAGGCAGCAGUGGGGAAUAUUGCACAAUGGGCGCAAGCCUGAUGCAGCCAUGCCGCGUGUGUGAAGAAGGCCUUCGGGUUGUAAAGCACUUUCAGUCAGGAGGAAAGGUUAGUAGUUAAUACCUGCUAGCUGUGACGUUACUGACAGAAGAAGCACCGGCUAACUCCGUGCCAGCAGCCGCGGUAAUAC